GUGCCGCCUGUGCGGCCGCCGGGAGCCAAGUUUGCGCGGACCCCGUCCCGAGCCCGCCGCGGCCAUGGACGCGCCCGCCCGGCUGCUGGCCCCGCUCCUGCUCCUCUGCGCGCAGCAGCUCCGCGGCACCAGAGCGAUGAAUGACAUUGGCAACUACGUGGGCUCCAACCUGGAGAUCUCCUGGCUCCCCAACCUGGACGGGCUGAUAGCCGGCUACGCCCGCAACUUCCGGCCUGGCAUCGGAGGCCCCCCCGUGAAUGUGGCCCUUGCCCUGGAGGUGGCCAGCAUCGACCACAUCUCAGAGGCCAACAUGGAGUACACCAUGACGGUGUUCCUGCACCAGAGCUGGCGGGACAGCAGGCUCUCCUACAACCACACCAAUGAGACCCUGGGCCUGGACAGCCGCUUCGUGGACAAGCUGUGGCUGCCCGACACCUUCAUCGUGAACGCCAAGUCGGCCUGGUUCCACGACGUGACGGUGGAGAACAAGCUCAUCCGGCUGCAGCCCGACGGCGUGAUCCUGUACAGCAUCCGAAUCACCUCCACUGUGGCCUGCGACAUGGACCUGGCCAAAUACCCCAUGGACGAGCAGGAGUGCAUGCUGGACCUGGAGAGCUGUGAGUGGGUGUACAAGGCGGGCAGGGGCUUCUCUCGGAGGGGCCACGCUGGCUUCUCCAGCAGUGGAUGGGGGCUCAGACUGUCAGCCCGGGGCCUGGACAAGGCUGGCCCGGCUCAGGGUGCAGGAAAGCACCAAACCAGCUUCUGCAUGCAAGAAGCCUGGGCAGGAGGAGAAGGGGCCAGAAGGCCUGGAGCAGUCUGGCUUGUGGGUCUGUGCCCUGCCUGGGGAGCCGGGCCGUGGAGCCCAGACAUGGCACGGAUUGAUAGUGUUGAGCCAGUGCAGCAGCCCCUGUGUGUCACCUGACAACGGUGACCCCAUCUGUGUCCCAUCCACCUGCCCAGCGGAGCCCGACGUGGUCCCAGAGCCGAAGGCCUCCUCGCUCCUGGCUGGGGUCCUGCUCGGUCCCCAUCACGAUGGCGUCGGCCCCCUGCAGGCUUCCUGUGUGGACGGAGCGCUCCUGCCAGGGCUCCCGGGGCAGGGCCAGGCUCUGCCGCCCACCUGUGUGCUUUUCCUCCAGACGGUUACUCAUCGGAGGACAUUGUCUACUACUGGUCGGAGAGCCAGGAGCACAUCCACGGGCUGGACAAGCUGCAGCUGGCGCAGUUCACCAUCACCAGCUACCGCUUCACCACGGAGCUGAUGAACUUCAAGUCCGCUGGCCAGUUCCCACGGCUCAGCCUGCACUUCCACCUGCGGAGGAACCGCGGCGUGUACAUCAUCCAGUCCUACAUGCCCUCCGUCCUGCUGGUCGCCAUGUCCUGGGUCUCCUUCUGGAUCAGCCAGGCGGCGGUGCCCGCCAGAGUGUCUCUAGGCAUCACCACGGUGCUGACGAUGACCACGCUCAUGGUCAGUGCCCGCUCCUCCCUGCCGCGGGCGUCAGCCAUCAAGGCACUGGACGUCUACUUCUGGAUCUGCUAUGUCUUCGUGUUUGCCGCCCUGGUGGAGUACGCCUUUGCGCAUUUCAACGCCGACUACAGGAAGAAGCAGAAGGCCAAGGUCAAGGUCUCCAGGCCGAGGGCAGAGAUGGACGUGAGGAACGCCAUUGUCCUCUUCUCCCUCUCCGCUGCCGGCGUCACGCAGGAGCUGGCCAUCUCCCGCCGGCAGCGCCGCGUCCCGGGGAACCUGAUGGGCUCCUACAGGUCGGUGGGGGUGGAGACAGGGGAGACGAAGAAGGAGGGGGCGGCCCGCUCAGGAGGCCAGGGGGGCAUCCGUGCCCGGCUCAGGCCCAUCGACGCAGACACCAUUGACAUUUACGCCCGCGCUGUGUUCCCUGCGGCAUUUGCGGCUGUCAAUGUCAUCUACUGGGCGGCGUACGCCAUGUGAGCACCGGACUCAGGCCACCCUCGCUUGUCCUGGCGCCCGGCGGCGGCUGCCCAGAAACUUCCUGGGAGAAAGAGCCCUCGGGCUGCCUUCCCCUCUGCGUGUUUCGAAGUGGGAUGACAGUCGGCCACGGAAAACAAGAGGAAGCCUCGGCCUCCCUGAGCUCUGACCCCAGCCUCACCCGAAAGGCCAGCCUGGGGCUCUCCGGCAGGCAGCCCGAGACCUGCACAGAUGAAGGAGCAGAGGGUGUGACCGAGAGGCUGAGCCGGGCCGGGGUCUGGGCCCUUCAGGGAGCCGUGGAUUUUUAGGUUCAGAAAGUGAUCCUGGUUUCUAGGUCUUUGCUCUGCAGGAUCGGGAUCAGCGCGUGGGAGGAGGGGGAGUGGACAUCCAUCCGGUGAACAGUGAAGGCGUUUGUGAGGUCUUUCUGGUCCCAGCAUGAAAUAAAGCCUUGGCCUGGGGGC
rnacentral:sRNA from 1 species